rnacentral:rRNA from 1 species
AUCUUCCGCAAUGGACGAAAGUCUGACGGAGCAACGCCGCGUGAGUGAUGAAGGCUUUCGGGUCGUAAAACUCUGUUGUUAGGGAAGAACAAGUGCUAGUUGAAUAAGCUGGCACCUUGACGGUACCUAACCAGAAAGCCACGGCUAACUACGUGCCAGCAGCCGCGGUAAUACGUAGGUGGCAAGCGUUAUCCGGAAUUAUUGGGCGUAAAGCGCGCGCAGGUGGUUUCUUAAGUCUGAUGUGAAAGCCCACGGCUCAACCGUGGAGGGUCAUUGGAAACUGGGAGACUUGAGUGCAGAAGAGGAAAGUGGAAUUCCAUGUGUAGCGGUGAAAUGCGUAGAGAUAUGGAGGAACACCAGUGGCGAAGGCGACUUUCUGGUCUGUAACUGACACUGAGGCGCGAAAGCGUGGGGAGCAAACAGGAUUAGAU